rnacentral:rRNA from 1 species
UACGAAGGGGGCUAGCGUUGCUCGGAAUCACUGGGCGUAAGGGGUGCGUAGGCGGGUCUUUUAAGUCAGGGGUGAAAUCCUGGAGCUCAACUCCAGAACUGCCUUUGAUACUGAGGAUCUUGAGUUCGGGAGAGGUGAGUGGAACUGCGAGUGUAGAGGUGAAAUUCGUAGAUAUUCGCAAGAACACCAGUGGCGAAGGCGGCUCACUGGCCCGAUACUGACGCUGAGGCACGAAAGCGUGGGGAGCAAACAGGG